UUGUAUUCUCAAUCAUAUGCAGGAGCUGAAAAACUUGAUCUCAUGGAGGUAGAAUGUAGAAUGAUAGAUACCAGAGGCAUCUGGGUUUGUGUGUUGUGGGGGAUGAAAAGAGAUUGGAUAAUAAGUAGAAACACAGAAUAAGUUCCAAUGCUCAAUAGCAGAGGAGGGUGACUAUAGUUAACAAUAACGGAUUGCAUAUUUCAAAAUAGCUAGAAGGGAAGAUUCAAAAUGUACCCAACACAUAGAAAUGUUAAGCACUUGAGGUGAUAGAUAUCCUUAAUAUCCUGACUUUACCAUUACAUAUUCUAUGCAUGUAACAAAAUACCACAUGUAGCCGAUAAGAUAUACAAAUAUUAUAAAUCAAUAAAAAUUGUAAAUAAAUAAAACAUUUAACUUAAAGGUAAGAUAAUAGUCUAAAAUUACUUUUCACUUAGUAGGUGAUUAGCAGGUUAAGUGAAACUGCAUACAGUAAAGAAUUAAGAUGUCCCCAGUCCCAGGUUCACAGAGCUGUGAGGUCUCUGCUGUUUCCUCUUGACAUCAAGGAACAACCCUGUCAUCAGAAUCAAGCAAAAAAUGGAAGCCCAAAGUGAUCUGAAGCAAUGGAGCCCCAGCUAAGGAAAGCGGAAUCCAUCUGACACCAAGCAGGAAGGUAAAUACUACAGUGAGGAGGCUGAGGUGGAUCUGCAGCACCCUGGCAGAGACGAUGAGUUAUACAAGACAUCUGCCAGGAGCUACAGAGGCUGAUGGCUGAGAUCCAAGACCUGAAGAGCGGGGGUGGCAAGAAUGUGGCAAUUGAAAUAGAAGAACAGAGGGUCCAGAGCUGUGUGCAUUUCACGACUUUGAAAAAGCUUAACCGAUUAGCCCACACCAGGUUGAAGAAAGGAAGAGAUCAAACACACGAGGCUAAGCAGAAAGUGGAUGCCUAUCACCGGCAGCUCCAGAACCUGUUGUAUGAGGUGAUGCACCUACAGAAGGAGAUCACCAAAUGUUUGGAGUUUAAGUCAAAGCAUGAAGAAAUUGAUUUGGUCAGUUUAGAGGAGUUUUAUAAGGAGGCUCCACCAGAUAUCAGCAAGGCUGAAGUCACCGUGGGAGACCCUCACCAGCAAACACUGGCACAUCUGGACUGGGAGCUGGAGCAAUGUAAAAGGCUGGCAGAGAAGUACCGUGAAUGCCUAUCCAACAAGGAGAAGAUCCUCAAGGAAACUGAGGUGAAGAAAGAGUCCCUGAGCAGCCUCCAGCUGUGCCUCAACAGCAUCAUGCAGGCUUCCCUUCCGGUGCAGGAGUACCUGUUUAUGCCAUCCGACCAGGCUCACAAGCAGGAUGAGACAGCCAGGCACCUGCCGCCUCCCCUCUGUUUCCUCUUUGUUCAGGCCACUGCGUAUGGGCAGGCCUGUGAUGAGACUAAGUUAUCUGUGGCAACUGAAGGCAGAGUGGACGAAGCCAAGGCUCUGUUCAAGCCUCCACAGGUCUCUCAAGAUGACGAGAGUGACUCGGAUGCUGAGGAGGAGCAGACCACAAAACGCUGGAGACCCACGCUGGGGGUUCAGUUGGAUGACAAACACAAGGAGACGCAGACAAGUCACCCACUGUCCGUCAUGCUUGACCUGAAGUGUAAAGAUGACAGUGUGCUUCACCUGACUUUCUUCUACCUCAUGAACCUGAAUAUCAUGACAGUAAAAGCCAAAGUGACAACUGCCACGGAGCUGAUCACCCCCAUCAGUGCAGGUGACUUGCUGUCUCCUGACUCAGUCCUGAAUUGCUUGUAUCCUAGGGAUCAUGGAAAGAAAACUCCAAAUCCAGCCAAUCAGUAUCAGUUUGAUAAAGUCGGCAUCCUGACUUUGAGCAACUAUGUACUUGAGUUAGAUCAUUCCUUUUUGUGGGUACAGAAGCUGGAUGGUCUCUACUUUCCCAAAGAGCAGCGCCAGCAAACAGUGAUUUCUGGCCACUCACUGAGCACCAGCCACAUGGAGACCACCAUGAAACUUCGGAAGACCAGGGUGCAGUCCCACGUGACCCUCCACAAACAGUUUACAUCCCUAGAGCAUGGCAUUGCACCAGUUACCAGUGAUUGCCAGUACCUCUUCCCUGCCAAUGUUGUCUCUUGCCUGGUGAAGUGGAUGACAGUUGCCCAUGAGGAUUACAUGGAGCUGCAUUUUACCAAAGACAUUGUGGAGGCGGGGCUGGCUGGGGACACCAAUCUCUACUACAUGGCAGUCAUCGAAAGGGACAGAGCCACACUGCAGGCUACUGUGGUGUUGAACCCUGGCUACUCCUCCAUCGCACCUAUUUUUCAGCUCUGUUUGAACUGGAAAGGGGAGAAAACAAACAGCAACAAUGACAACUUUCAGGCCAUGGAGAGCGAAAUCAAUGUUUGCUGCAGGGAGCUGUGUGGCCCUUGGCCCAGCCACCAGCUGUUGACCAACCAUCUGCAGCAGCUGUGUGUGCUGCUGGAUGUUUACCUGGAGACUGAAAGCCAUGACGACAGUGUGGAGGGGCCGAAGGAAUUUCCGCAGGAGAAUAUGUGUCUGCGGCUCUUCAGGGGUCCUGGCAGGAUGAAGCCGUUUAAAUACAACCAUCCUCAGGGAUUCUUCAGCCAUCGCUGACCUCCCACCCAGCCCGUUGUUUCCCCGAGGCCUCGCCCUGAGUACUGGGCUUUUGCUUACUGCUCUGGCCCACAUAUGACUCUUGAUAGUCUCCAAAGACACCAUCCGAUUAAAAAGCAUCACCUGAAAAAAAAAAAAGAAUUAAGAUGUCGGUGUCAUGUUAAAAUUCUAUUAUUGACUUGGAUAAUUUUGAAAAGUCUCUUGCUAUUUCUGUACUUCAGUUUUUUUGUCUCUAGGAUGAAGGUCAACAUUCAGCAUCUCACUACUUAGAUGUGAAUGAAAAUAAUUUAAGGAAAUAAUUUUAAUUCAUAAUGGGCUUUAAAAGGCUAAAGCCAAAGGAAUUAAAAUAAAAUGAUCUGUGUGACAUAACGUUUUAUACUCAUAAUUUUGAUUAUGUAUUUCAGAAAUACUAUUUUUUGCCUUACUUAGACUAUUUUUCUAAGUAAAAAUAGAUGAGGAAACUGAGGCAAAGAAGGAGAACUAUUUGCCUUUUAAUGGACCAAAUAAUGAUGUUGAAUCUAGGUCUUUUGGUAAACACAUUUCUUCCCACAACCCCCACCCAAAUGCUUUGUCUAAUCAUUUGGAAUGCUAUAAGUUGACAUUAGUUUUAAAAGGAAGAAAACAAUUUAUCCCUGGCAUUAGAGUAGAUAUCUUUAGUAUAAUAAUUAGUAUCACUUUAUCAUUAAUUUUCACAGUUUUAAUUCUUUAAAUUGCUAAUGUAAUUUAAAAGUCAUGAGUUGGUUGUAGUAUAUUUUGAAUAUAAAAAUAAAUGCCUUCUAAGCACCUAUUAGUCAGCACUGUCCUGGGUUACAGAUAGAGAAGAAAAAAAAAAACACCUGCUUGUCUGCCUACUCAUAUUAAUCCUAAAUCUUUGUAUCAGUUUUGCAUAUUACAUAUAUUGAAUACAGACACAAUUUAUAGAUGUGAAAACUGAGGAUUAAUGAAGUUGACAACUUUCCCCAGAGCUAUACUCAAAUGCCACUUUCUCCAUGAAGGCUUACAAGAUGAGGAAGAUUAGUGGACAGAAAUAGGGGAAAAACAACAUUUUAAGUAGCUGUAAUGGCAUGAACAAAGGACUAUGUGUACUGAAGCUCAGUUUGCCAAGGUAAUUAUGACUAGUAUGUUUUGACUGAAAUUUAAGGUAACUAUAGAAGAUAUGUGGGAGAUAAAGUAGCUUUAAGUUAGGUCAUGGUAGAGACUUAAUUACCUAGGAAAGAAAUUAGUACAUAAUUCAGUAGGAUUUAGGGAGCUAUGAAGAUCAGGGGAGUAGAACUGCAGGAUUUGGCAUGUAUGUUAUAAAAUGAAUGGAAGAAAGGUCAGACAGAGGCAUAUAGACCAAGUAGAAGACUCUUGCAAUGGUGAAGUCCUGAUGGCCCAAACUAGAUUGUUGUCACUAACCACAGAAAGAAAGAGACUUUAUAAAGGAAAAAGGAAAGAUGUAGUAAGUAAGGGAGUGAUACUAGAAGGUGGGAUCAGAAAUAGAAAAGAGAGAAAUUAGUUGGUGUUUGUUGAGGAGCCUGCAUUAUCAAUCUGACUUUAAAAAUGGUAAAUUUGAUACAUUUGUGGUGUGUCUAGUGCAAUUACUCAUCUGACGAUCAGAAACAUUAAUCUUGAGAAUGAAAAUGUGUAAAAAGCAUAGACUAAUAAUAUUGAUUUUAUAUGUUGGCUGCAUUAAGACAGAGGGAAUUGAAGUCCUGAGUGUAGAUGAAAUUUAUAGAGAGGAAAGAAGAUUGAGAAGCAUCUAAUUUUGAAAAGCAAAAGGUAGAAAAGUGGAACCCAUGGAAUCAGGGAAAGAAUAUCAAAGAGGUAGGAUAAGAUCAUAAGUGUCCUAUGAUCUCAUGAGAACACUAUGUCUGAGAUAGGGGAGGGGCAAAGGGGGGUAAGAUGUUCAACAAAGCUGGAUUCUUUUCAGGGUCUAAGUUACAAUCUAAUAGGAAGCCAUUGAAAUUUGUGAUUAGGAGGUCAUAAGUUACUUUUGAGAGAGCCAUUUAAGGAGUCUGUGGAUUACUAGUAAGGUAUUAAAAUGGGUGGAUAGUGGGUUAAAUGAAGACACUAAGAGCAGUUGAGAAAUUGGUUGCAAAA